rnacentral:rRNA from 1 species
UACGUAGGGGGCAAGCGUUGUCCGGAUUUAUUGGGCGUAAAGAGCGUGUAGGCGGCCAUGCAGGUCAGCUGUGAAAACUCGAGGCUCAACCUCGAGACGUCGGUUGAAACCGUAUGGCUAGAGUCCGGAAGAGGAGAGUGGAAUUCCCGGUGUAGCGGUGAAAUGCGCAGAUAUCGGGAAGAACACCCAUGGCGAAGGCAGCUCUCUGGGACGGUACUGACGCUGAGACGCGAAAGCUAGGGGAGCAAACAGG